rnacentral:rRNA from 1 species
UUCGAGCGGAACGAUGGUAGCUUGCUACCAGGCGUACGAGCGGCGGACGGGUGAGUAAUGCUUAGGAAUCUGCCCAGUAGUGGGGGAUAGCCCGGGGAAACCCGGAUUAAUACCGCAUACGCCCUUUUGGGGAAAGCAGGGGAUCUUCGGACCUUGCGCUAUUGGAUGAGCCUAAGUCGGAUUAGCUAGUUGGUGGGGUAAAGGCCCACCAAGGCGACGAUCCGUAGCUGGUCUGAGAGGAUGAUCAGCCACAUCGGGACUGAGACACGGCCCGAACUCCUACGGGAGGCAGCAGUGGGGAAUAUUGGACAAUGGGGGCAACCCUGAUCCAGCCAUGCCGCGUGUGUGAAGAAGGCUUUCGGGUUGUAAAGCACUUUCAGUGAGGAGGAAGGCUUUCAGACUAAUACUCUGGAAGAUUGACGUUACUCACAGAAGAAGCACCGGCUAACUCCGUGCCAGCAGCCGCGGUAAUACGGAGGGUGCAAGCGUUAAUCGGAAUUACUGGGCGUAAAGCGCGCGUAGGUGGUUGAGUAAGCGAGAUGUGAAAGCCCCGGGCUUAACCUGGGAACGGCAUUUCGAACUGCUCGGCUAGAGUGUGGUAGAGGGUAGU